GCUCCAGUGGCGCAAUCGGUUAGCGCGCGGUACUUAUACAGCAAUACAGAGCAAAGCAAUGCUGAGGUUGUGAGUUCGAGCCUCACCUGGAGCA
rnacentral:tRNA from 1 species